GCCUCGACCUUGCGCUUGUCGGCGUCCUGCGCGCGCGGCGACGGCGCGAAGCGGCCGAGACCUUCCAGGAGAUCGCCGACGCCGAAAUUGCGCAGCGCGCUGCCGAAAUAGACCGGGGUCAGGUGGCCCUCGCGGAACGACUGCAGGUCGAACGGCUUCGAGGCUUCCUUCACCAGUUCGAGUUCGUCGGCUAUCUCAUUGGCAUCGAGAUUGGCGUUGCGGCCGGCCAAAUCAGAGAUCUCGAUCUUUUCCGCUGCCCCGGUCUUGGCGCCGCCGCCUUCCAGCAGGCGGAUGCCACCGG
rnacentral:misc_RNA from 1 species